GUUAACUUUUAGAAAGUAUUCUCGCACCGUAUAAAUACAUCUCAUUUUUCUCUGUUUUGUCAGUAGUUGUUUUUGGUAUUAUUCGUGCAACGUGGAAGCUAACUUAGUGGUUUGGUGUUCGUACAAAAAAGCAGUCCUAAAGAUCAUCUUAGUACUCUCAACCCGUAACCGCAAAUAGAAUAGCAGCCAAUCUUAAGCAUGGACUUAAGUCAACUGAAUCAAACCUGUCUUGCAGAAGGUGAUUUUGAGCAGCCGAUUGUCAAACUGCAUGAAUUGCCGAUAGGCGUUCCGUUUAAAAUUACUAGAGCCAAAAUUGUUAAUACAAAAUUUGGCAAUUCCGUGUUGCUGCAAUUAGAAAAUUCCGUAGUAUUUCUUCCUACUCGCGUGACAGAAGCUUUCCGUCCGAGACUAGAACACUUUGCGUCGGGGCAGUACAAACUGGUCUACGAGGGAUCCAAAGAUAUUGGAAAGCCCAACUCUUUAAAGAAAUUCAAAAUAAUUCAAAAUUAAUCAACAUAUUAUACAGGAUUAUGGUCAAACAACUUACAUUAGAAAGCCUUUGUAUUAUAACAAUUUGCGAAAAUAUUAGGUGUAGUGCUGAUUUUUUGCUUGAGUCACCUUUGCCUUGGAAACUAACGAUACUAAUAUUUAAAUAUUAUUCGAAAUAUAGAUGGAAGUACCUUAAACAAUUAGCGCUCCAGUCUGAUGGCAAUUCUUUAUUAAAUUUAGAAUUCAUUCUGUUGAAUAAGAGAUUUGGAUCGUCUUACAGAAAUAGCAUUUUGGCAACUCCAACCAUUGAUUUUGACGGAGAAUCCGCUUACUGUUUAUGGGUCAGUUAUUACAGGAUAAAAUAUUCGGAAAUUUUAGUUUGUAAAUCUUGUCACUUUAUAUUUCAACUAGUUAAAAAAUUUAAAAAGAAAAAUUUUAGACUUUUAUUGGAUCACUAUCAUUUACAGCUGGAUAUAAAUAAUUUGAAUGAUGUAUAUCACGAUAAACAAUUUUGGUGUCAAAGCUGCUUUGAAGAAGUUUUGUUCACUGUAGAAACUGAAGAUGAAUGUAAUUUAAUGCUUCACGAUGAGAGGAAAUAUGGAAAAAAGUUACGCUUUUCUGAUAGUCCAUUGAACUAUUAAUACUGUGGUUUUAUUAUAACAUAUGUAACUGUAGAUAAGACUUUUAUGUAUUGAUUGUAUUCCAUUGUAUUGCAACAAGAAUAAACAUGUAUAUAUUUA